rnacentral:rRNA from 1 species
AGAGUUUGAUCCUGGCUCAGAACGAACGCUGGCGGCAGGCUUAACACAUGCAAGUCGAACGGCUGUAGCAAUACAGCAGUGGCAGACGGGUGAGUAACACGUGGGAACCUUCCUAGAGGUACGGAACAACUCAGGGAAACUUGAGCUAAUACCGUAUACGCUCUUGCGAGGAAAGAUUUAUCGCCUUUAGACGGGCCCGCGUCGGAUUAGCUAGUUGGUGGGGUAACGGCUCACCAAGGCGACGAUCCGUAGCUGAUCUGAGAGGAUGAUCAGCCACACUGGGACUGAGACACGGCCCAGACUCCUACGGGAGGCAGCAGUGGGGAAUCUUGGACAAUGGGCGCAAGCCUGAUCCAGCCAUGCCGCGUGAGUGAAGAAGGCCUUCGGGUUGUAAAGCUCUUUUGUCAGGGACGAUAAUGACGGUACCUGAAGAAUAGCC